GAGUUUGAUCGUGGCUCAGGACGAACGCUGGCGGCGCGCCUAACACAUGCAAGUCGAGCGGGGAGAGCGAUAGUUUACUAGAGUUUUCCUAGCGGCGGACGGGUGAGUAACACGUGAAGAACCUGCCUUACAGAGGGGGACAACAGCUGGAAACGGCUGCUAAUACCGCAUAACAUUUAUCGAGGGCAUCCUUGAUAAAUCAAAGGAGCAAUCCGCUGUAAGAUGGCUUCGCGUCCGAUUAGACAGUUGGCGGGGUAACGGCCCACCAAAUCUACGAUCGGUAGCCGGACUGAGAGGUUGAACGGCCACAUUGGGACUGAGACACGGCCCAGACUCCUACGGGAGGCAGCAGUGGGGGAUAUUGCACAAUGGAGGAAACUCUGAUGCAGCGACGCCGCGUGAGGGAAGAAGGUUUUCGGAUUGUAAACCUCUGUCUUCGGUGACGAAAAUGACGGUAGCCGAGGAGGAAGCCACGGCUAACUACGUGCCAGCAGCCGCCGUAAG
rnacentral:rRNA from 1 species